rnacentral:rRNA from 1 species
UACGGAGGGUGCAAGCGUUAUCCGGAUUCACUGGGUUAAAGGGUGCGUAGGUGGGUAUGUAAGUCAGUGGUGAAAUCCCCGAGCUUAACUUGGGAACUGCCGUUGAUACUAUAUAUCUUGAAUAUCGCGUAGGUAAGCGGAAUAUGUCAUGUAGCGGUGAAAUGCUUAGAUAUGACAUAGAACACCAAUUGCGAAGGCAGCUUACUUCACGAUCAUGACACUGAGGCACGAAAGCGUGGGGAGCAAACAGG